UAAUGUACCAGAGAGCAUAGUGUAAAUAAGCAUAACAUUUAUCUCUCUCUGUUUCUACAGUCUCCAGCUUUUUUGUCCUUUGCCAAUCUCAAACCUGUUUUUUGACUGCAAGUCAUAUAAACAUUUAAAACACAUGAAAUAUAAUGUUGCUAAUAUUUUGCUAAUGUCUCUUCAUGCUCCCACCAACUCCAAUGGCACACCGGGGCCAGCCACACCCACCAUCUUCACUGGGACAUCAUACCGCUCGGUUCCCUUUCCAUCAGUUCUUCAAAGACCUGCUACACACUCACGUGUUGUC